UAAUUAUAAUACGCAAAUAUAAACAUAAGUAAGGUUAUGUUCAGCUUCAGAAUAUAAACAUAAGUAAGGUUAUGUUCAGUUUCAGAAUAUAAACAUAAGUAAGGUUAUGUUCAGUUUCAGAAUAUAAACAUAAGUAAGGUUAUGUUCAGUUUCAGAAUAUAAACAUAAGUAAGGUUAUGUUCAGCUUCAGAAUAUGAAAAUAACCCCACAAUGUAAAUAAUGCUACACCAUCCAUGAAAUACAAUUAUAAUAUUGUUAUUGUAUCUUUCAGCAAUUAUUGCUGAAAAUAAAUUAAACAAAUCUGAACCAAAACUGUAUGACUAUUUAAUUCAGAAAGUUUUGUAAAAUGUUGGUAAUUAUCUACGGGAAUUAUGCAACUUCAAUGGAUUCAUUUAAUCAGUUGUCACUCUUACUAAUGUUUCUAUAUAAUGACUGUUAUUAUGUAUUUUCUAAUUUUAACAAUUUGUUAAACAGAACCAUGUGUAUUUAUGCUAAUAUUUUAUAAAGUUCACAGAGACCAAAUAA